rnacentral:rRNA from 1 species
UACGGAGGAUGCGAGCGUUAUCCGGAUUUAUUGGGUUUAAAGGGUGCGUAGGCCGGCCGAUAAGUCAGCGGUGAAAUACCAUGGCCCAACCAUGGAACUGCCGUUGAUACUGUCGGUCUUGAAUAUGGUCAAGGUAGGCGGAAUGUGUAAUGUAGCGGUGAAAUGCUUAGAUAUUACACAGAACACCGAUUGCGAAGGCAGCUUACUGGUCCAUUAUUGACGCUGAGGCACGAAAGCGUGGGGAUCGAACAGGAUUAGAUACCCUGGUAGUCCACGCCGUAAACGAUGAUCACUCGCUGUUGGCGAUACACAGUCAGCGGCUAAGCGAAAGCAUUAAGUGAUCCACCUGGGGAGUACGGCCGCAAGGCUGAA